UGGAAAAAUUUAGUCAACUUGGAAAAUUUAGUCAAAUUGACAACUUUUUCUCAAUGUAAAAUAUUAAAAUAACCAGGUCCAAUUUGAUUCUCUGUCAAAAGCCCAAAAAUCGUCUCUAAAAAGAAUUCGAGAGGUUUCGAGUGAUUGCAAAAACGGAUAAUAACUGCACAUUAUUGUAAAGAGAAAUAUUGAUAAAGGGAAUUUAGGAAUUGACUGACGAUCAAUCGCACUGCGACAUACACUGGUUUACACAAUCACAAACUGAAUUUCCAAUCGUUUAUUUUUUUUCCCCUACCCUGAUUUCCCGCAGGAAUCCGCGACGUAUAUCGUGACAUGAGCGAGUACAAAACUGCGUAAUGCUCUACGAAAAGUUGUUAAUUACUGUUUGCCCGGCGAGCUUAGCAGAUAGAUAGCAUUUAAUUUGCGGUCGUAACAUGUUGUACGUAGUCUACCGAUGCGACCAAUAAAGGUAAUUAUACUAAUUACAUUUGUGCACGAUAAGCACCGGAUAGUUCACAUGUACGCUCAUAUUUUACAUACGCACUAUACAUACGCAUGUAUAAAUAUGAUAGAUAUACGAUUGCUGAGAAUCGAAAUUGAACACGGCCGAUGAUAAUCAUAGUUUGAUGCACCUGAUGAUUUCACUGAUCAAAAUUCACUAUCGAUUUAUCACGAAACAACGUUAUUAUUACGCUGGGGAGAAGAAUAAUAAUUUUUCGAGUGCCUACAGAAUAGUUUGUAGAUAAUAUUACCUAAUAUUACCAUAUUACAGAGAAACAGAUUAUCGAUUACCGUAUAAUAACGCUGUGUCCAACAUCAAUAUCAAUUUUUUCAACUUCUAAAAACUGUCGAUGUUAAAAUUGCGGGAAAAGACAGCUGGAAUAUUACAAUCGAUAUUACAAUAACUUUGGCGAUGUUCCGUAAUUUUAAUCUAGUUUUUGCCCGCUUUCAAUUUUCUUCUAGCAAUUUUUGACAAUUAUGGGGAAUAUCUAUCGAUUAAUGAAGGUCUGCUUCACAGAACGGCGACCGUUUCGUAGGCGUACAUUAUCAUAAGCCGACACCGCAGUUAUGUGGAUAAUUGAUUUGGUUACGUGUACGGCGUUAAUAUGAUACAUGCAAGUCUUGAUGCACGAAAGCAGAUUUAGAUUAUCCCAUGAAUUACGACUAUGCAUAUCCAGACGGUGAUGUAAAAAAAGCCCCGAUUGGAUUAUGUCAUAAAACAGUGAUAGAAAUAUACAGACAUCGCGUUAUAAAAUACAACACUUUAGCAUAUCAAAGUUAAUAAAUAAGUAAGAAACAGGCAGAUAACGCGAUUGUUAAAAUUUCAACUGUUUACAAAAUAUCACGGAUUAAAUAAUUUUCGAAAGCGGAUAAAAGUGUAAAGUGAAAAAUUAAGAUGCAGAUACUUUCAAUAAAAACAGACACGAGUAUCGCUCGACAUAACGCAUUAAUUGCGAGCCUCAAAAUAUCAUUAAAUCAGGAGAAGCAGCUUUAAGAAGGCAACAACACGAAGGAGCAGAGAUGGCGGGAUUUUGUUGCGGCAACAUUGAAGGAAUUCGCGGAAAGGCAAAUUAGACAUAACCCACGCGCGGAACAUACACGGCGCAUAACUCGGAGAACAUGAACACAGUCUCGAGUAUACGAGAGGAAGGAGGGAAAGAGGGGUAGUUUCAAAUGUACUAACUAAAUGCAGCCUGCAUAGCUCUUAAGUGAAUUCCACGGUAUCCUCGAGCUGGCAAGCAGUUUCGUCGGCUCCUGCCAAAACUAAUCGCUCAUCCGAAUUAAGCGCCCAUAUCUCGAUGCGGACGGGGGGGGGGAAGGUGGUACGCGAUAUAAUUCAUUAAGAAUCCAAUUAGGAAGUCAAUGCGUGCUCGUUAAGCGCAUCACGGCGUCGACAUGUGUCGCGUAAUUGACGGCCGCGGAAGGGAAAAAGUACGCGGCUGUCACAGUGAAAAUAAAAUCAACGUCCCUGGUAAUAAGGUUUCAUCAUCGAAUAUUUUUCCCAAAGGUUUAGCCAACUUUCAUUUAGAUUGUUAACAAUAAUCGACGCUAUAGCAGAGAGCGUGUAGUGAGGUACGAUAGUCAUUCGAUAAACCGUCCAUCGUUUUUCAAUUUCCUGCGAUUUUUACGAUCGUUAAUACCAAACUCGCGCCGUGAGUUUUGUGUAUCAUCGAGUGAUCGUUAAAAAUUUACGAUGCUUGCUUGGCCAGUCGCAAAUACGAGUUCAAUAUUUAUCCAACACUUUCGCGAUCGAUAGACUAGAUAAUUUUCAGUGACAGCCACUAUAUACGACACAGUGGCAAUUGUCUCUCUCUCUCUCUCUUUCUCUCCCCACAAGUACCAGUAUAUUUAAUUAAAAUACUAAUAUCGGAACUAAAGAGUGUAGCUUUUUUUCUUCAACCAACCGUUGGAAAAAAUUCGCGCAACUCGACUCUCGCACACGAAAUUCUUUCCCAAGCGCAAUCGCGAUUUACAUGAAUCCGAAUUACGAGGGAUUACACGUACAGAAAAGAUAUUACGUAACAGAGAGACACAAAGGCUGCAACCGCCAGCGCGCCCUUUGCCAUGAGGUUUGGAUUCUGAGAUACUUGCGGAAAUUUAUGAAAUUAAGCGUCGGUUGAGAGCGGCUGAGGUAAGAGAGAGAAAUGGCAGCAGAGAACCGUCUGCUGCAACUUAAAACGUAAACGUGCUGACUGUACAGUACGUGUUUGCCUAGCAGAAACAGCACGAAGCUGACCGUUCAAUUGCGCCGUGGCCGCACGUGACUAACACUCUAAUUAUGUAUUUAGUCUUAAUUAGACGGGCGUUACAUCGUCGUGACGGCGGACGCUCGGCGCAAAAGUUCAAAGUCUGCGCGGCCCACUACCCCGGGGGAGGGAGGGUGAAGCAGUUUCUCGUGCCAGCUGUCGCGUCCACGCCGCACGAAAUUCGCGUUUUACGAGGUAAAAUUUUCGCGAAAUUUAGAAGCGCGGAAGAUCGAGAAGUUCCGGUCGCGUUAAUUCGAUUACGCGCGAAACUUGCGUGAAAUUUCGGUACAUCUGCAAUUGGACACGCAAACAUGCUGCAAGUGAAAAUCUACUCGGGCGCAAUCUCGGGAGCCGGUCCAGCGGGCGGUAUAUAUUCAUUGUCGCAUAGUUAAAAUACCGAAAGCAAAUAAGACAGCGACUAAGCGACAUUUCCCUGGAAAUUUCUCAAAUAUAUAUAUAAUACUUUUGAGAACGUAAUUUAAACAUAUAGCCUACCCCGCCGAAAUUGCCGGAUAAAAUCUGUUCUUCGAAUCCGCCGUUAUAUUGACGCGAUAGUGCCUAUUCGUUCGGGCUUUAUAUCCAUUAAAUUCUGAUUUCGCCGCCAUCGGGCGCGACAGACGAGAAGACUGGUACGAAGAGAAGCAGUCCUUUAGCUAGAUAGCUUUUCAAUGGGCUCCUUCAUUUAUUCUCCGUGUGCGGCGACGCCGACGAGAGGAGACGCUAGUUCUCUCGUGCCGGAGGACAAAGGGCCCCAGAGAGAAGGGAAAGAGAAUCAAGUUCCACGUAUACAUAUGCGAACGGCGCGGCAUGGAGAAUGUUAAAGCGGACUUUUAUGAGCCAAAAAGGAAGACCGGGUUAGGAAACGUCAGCCUUGGCGAAGUAUAAAGCGUACUAACGACCGUUUCAUUGAUUUUCAAUUUUCGAUGAGCCAUGACAUGACUAAUGGGAACUCGAGCAUGCGAAUGUUACGCAGAUAAAACGAGCAUUGUCGUACAAUCGCGGAGCUGCUGUUUGCAUCAUGUUGAUUCUCAAGCGCGGAUACUCAAAACGAAAAAGACAUCCGAUACGUUUUCCGUCUCUCUCGCGUUCGUUUCAAGUUAAUAAAUUCGCGCGAUGUUGCGCCGCUCUUGUUUGAGUGAAUAAAUCCAUUAUAACGCGAACGUAUACACAGCGCUAUUGAUUCACUUCGAAAUGCACACAAAUUAACGAUAAUUUACGCAUAAAUAACGCGAGGCUGUCGCGCGAAAUUAUCAUUGGCUAACCACCACUCGCGCGGAUCUCGGAUCUCAACCGUAACCUAAGCCACGAGACUCACCUUUAUCUAUGACUAAGCUACCUCUUUCUUAUUCCGCAUUUAAUUAACAUAAGCGGACACGCGACGUCGCGGACAAGGCGCGCCGAACUCCGCCCUUCCGGUAUCUUCGAUAUCUCGCCGCCGACGAAGGGGGAUGAGGGCCCGAGCCCGGAGUCUGUCGGCGACAAAUCGCGCUUCCGCAGAGAACGAAAUUUCCUGUACGUAUCGAUUGCGGCCGCCGCGUGCCGGGGUUAGCGUUGCCCCCGCGGCUACAGUCGUCAGAUAUGGGCGAAGUUGCGAAAUACACAUCCGCGCGUACGGAUAUUUCCCUCGCAAUCUAGGAACGCGCGCAUUACAUAAAUUCAUAUACCGCGAGAAGGGCGGUAGGUGAGCCACCACACACCACCGUGCACCGCGGCGGCUGCUGCUGCUGCUGCUGCUGCCGCCGCCUCCUCCUCCUUCUCCUCCUCUCCCGACGGGGUUGGUGGCAGCGGCGGCGAUGGCGAUGGUGAUGGCGAUGGCGAUGCGGUGGUAGUGCUUGCCGGCGGUGCAAGGUGCGAGGUGUGUGGAACACGUUCCACGCGAUAGUGUACAUUUGAGAUACAGCGAGCGGACUACGGUUCUAAUUCCGAUGACGUAUGAGCUUGCGUAACCUAGUUUUCUGUUUGCCAGUCCCCGGUAAUGAGUUGUCUAGUCCUCCGCCACCAUACUCGUCGUCCUCCCCCCGACCGCCUUUCCACCAUCCACCUGUAACCAUCGCCGCCACUUCGUUCGCGGUACGCCCUCUCUCUCUCUCUCUCUCUCUCUCCGUCUCUCCCUGCCUCUCGCUCCCUUUUUCUCUUUCUGCUUCCGCCUCUCUCUCUUCCCCUCACCCCCCGUCGCUCUUUCCCACAGUCGUUUCCCCCUGUGACAUCGUGCACUCGCGUGUCGUAAAUUACACGCGGAGUCGGAUGUACAUACUUAUACACGCGAGUGACGAUACGAUAAACGGUUUGCGAGAAAAGGAACCGGCGGCGUCGCGGCUCAACUAUCCGUCCUCGGGGAAUCACGAAAUUAUGGAUAGAAAUGUUCGUGAAUAUACGAGGGGGUAUUGAUCGACGCUACAAGUUUAGUAACUUUGCGACGGCGCCGAUAUAAUCGUUGUCAAAGUGUAUUCUCAUGGCAAUCGCCCGGGGGACGCUAAAAUUUCUUCGCGGCAUAAUCAUACGGUUGCAGCAGCACGCGACCGUGCCUGUUAGCGCGAAACGAGAAUUAUUGAUAAGCUUAUCCCGUUAUUACGAAUAUACGUAACUGGACACCUUCGUUUCUCUCGUCAGGCGGAAGUUUGCGAUUACAACUUUUAGGUUUAAUUUAAUUGUAAUGUGUAAUGCAGUAUACUUGUUCGCGAAUUAGUUAUAACCGCGCGGAGUAGCAAAAAAUCAGACAUUAACAAUUGCGGGGAUUUCGGCGGCAUCCCGAGUGUAAAUAAUUACGCAUAAUUCAAAAUCCGAGAGCGCGUCCGUAAUAUAAAAUAGCAGAAGCGAAAUUGUAAGCGAGCUGUCACCGACAACGCUUCCACCCACGUGAUCACGGCUGAUUAAUGGCUAAAUUGCGCAAUUAAUACACGAAACAUCGGAUAAUCACGCGAGCGAGGAGAAAAAAUUUUUUGAACGCCAUCGGGUUGGCGUGCGCCGGAUGGCCUUAACGAGGGUGGGGAAAGAUCGUGAAAUUUAUCGGCCCCGAUCGUCCGGUCAUCAGUUUAGGAUCGAGAGUUAGUGUCUCCUCGCAUGAGAGCUGACUAUCCUUCAUGCGGAAUGUCGGGCUUUUUCUUUAUUUUUUCCACUGCCGGCAUUACGCUCGCCGUCCGUCGAGACGCCCAUGAUAAAAAGGAACGGUUUGUACGACGUGCGCCUAUCUCGGUAUUUCUUCGAAAUGGAACGACGACGACGACGACGACGACGAAGACAACGACACUGCUGGCACGACGACGUGCCUGUUCGCUCGUAUAGUUAAGGAUUCAGACGUCGCAGGAAGGAUCCUGAACGUUAAAAAGGAUAACCGCCAUUAGUUAAAAAAAUAUUACGCUACUCCCCGGCUGUGUCGAAAUUUUCCUCAACAAACAUUUGAUCUCUUUCAAUUUUGCCAAAGUCUCUAACAAACACUUCAAAAUAGAGGAUAAAAUUAUUAAGCUUACAGAGAAGUGCGUGAAGGAUUACACUUUUCUUGAGCAAAAUUUUUUGUCGUUUUUUUUUUCGUGUAUCGCUCAAAUAUUCCUUCGCACAUUACCUUAGAAACGACACUUGGUUCGCGUCUGAGAUUAAACAAAGUUACGCCGUGAUUUCUUCCGCGCGUAUAUAUCUCACUGCCAUGUCCGCAGAUAGAUUUAUACACCUUGGCUCAUUGUUUGUCCUGCGUGUUUUCAUUUUUAGAGCCCGGUUGUCUUUACGGGGCUCGUUACUUUUUUCGACAACGCACCAUAUAUCCGCGGCUAGAGGAUGCCAGGCAGGCGUGGAAAUAUAUCAUCCGGGAGAGACAUUUCCACCCCCUUAUUUCGCGUUUCGCCCCCCCGAAGCGAACUCACCCUUACAAGCUGCCGCCGCUGGGCGAAAACCGGCGCAACGAGGCCCGACUUUACCGCUGACACCUCGAGCAUCCAAAUAAAUAAUACGCCUUAUUUGUUGUACGUAUUGUGCGCAGCGGCAGAAUGAAAUCUGUCGGCGCUACCGCGCAACGAAUCAACGGCAGGGAUCAUAUGAUUUAGGAAGAUCCCUCUAAACAAUAAUUACAAUAUGCAUGAAGCAAUUUUAUCGACAAAACUAUAUUACACUUUAUACAUACGGUUAUUUGUCAUUUAUUUUCCUGGAAAAGCAAACAGAGAUAGCAAAUCAGUCAGAAAUAAAUCAAUAAUAAAAUUGAAUUAAGGGCAGCGACAGACUUUCGAUUUAUAUUUGCAAUUCAGAAAGAAUAUUAACUAAACGAUAAUUACUAUUAUUUUAACUUAUACACAUACAGCGUUUCUCGUAAAUAUUUAAACUAAAUUUAAGUGAUUAAUUAUGCUUUUGAAGCAUCAAUUACUAUAAAGUUAUUAAUAGAAUGAAUUAAUAAUAUAACGAAAUUAAAACUUAAGAGAACAUCAGAAAUCAAUAGUCGCGCCGCAAUAUUUUUUUAUAAGUCUACAUACGAACAAAUUUCACUCGGCUUUCAAAAGAAAAGGAACGGUUAAAGGAGUCGUAACGCAAACGGUAAAGCCGCGUCGCCCUUUUAACUCCCGUUGCGCUGACACGGCAACGGCUCGAGUAAUGGUUACACCUGCUGCUGCUGCUGCUGCAGGAGUUUACAAGGUGGACCAGAAACUGGGCGAAAGAAUCAGCGCGCGCGCCAGCAGAGCUCGGUCGAACGCGAGUUACGACAGAGGAUUUCAUCCGACCGAGGUUCGCCGUGGUCAUUAACUCCAAAAGUUCGCGUCGCGCGUAUAACUUUCACCGCUCACCUGACGAAUCUUGUGAUACGAGACGCAUCUCUAAAGCUUUUCCCCGCGUGAUAUUCCCCCGUAUAACCCGGCGUAUUACCCGGUUAAUUGAUGUAGCACUCCUUUGCGAUACGAUACGAUACGAUACGAUACCGAUAAAAACCAUCGACCAUUGUAAUUAACGUAAGAUACACUAUCUUUUAUCCGGGAGACUUCAUCCGUCAUAAUUAAUGGUAACGUCGAUAUCAGCGAAGCGAAGCGUACAGACAAAGUGGCGUAGCGCCACAAGCGUGCAGCCGCCUACGGUCGUGUUCCUCGUUUGUUAUUUAGCGCAGCGCAUCUCUUCCCCGACCGAGUCGUACUUCGCGAAGGGUAAAUGUGUGAGCCGCGAGCUACGACGUAAAUUACAUUACGAAUCACGUCUGCUUAAUUACCGUAGUUAUUUAAUAUCAUUGAAGGUUCCACGACGUACAAUGCGCGCUUCGCGCUUUGCCCCUCUCUUUCUCCCGUCUCUAUUUCUCUCUCUCUCUUUCUCUCCCGCGGUGCACAAUUGAAAGAGAGGCGUGACGCGAGAGUUCAAAGCCGACGUUACGCGCCAGCUUGCGACGUCGAAAGCCUCUUUUCGCGUGCUGCGGCUACCGCCCCGCGCCACCACGAAGAAGUGUUAAAAUUCAGCGCGUUCAGCUUGGCACCCGAGGCGGUCCAACUGGGUCAUUAAAUAUGAGAGAUCUUGUUGGCCAACAUCUCUCCCGCUGCCGUAGCGGAGACGAACCAGGCAAGGAGAGCGAGAGAGCGAGAGAAAAAGAGUGUGUGAGAGAGAGAGAGAGAGACGUGCUGCAACUGUCUCUCUCCCGGCGGUUGUUUCUCGGCUGCCUGACGCGCAAGCCGCGCCACUCUCUGGAUGCACUUUUGUAUAAUUUUACUUUAAUUGCUGUUGAGCCCUGGAGUUUUCAAGUUUCGCCCUGUCCUCGCUCUCCCCGCCUUCCUCCACUCCGUCCUCGGCGCCCCUUCUCUCGCUACCCCGCGCUUUGCACCUUCGCCUACUUUUAUAAGCUCCCUCGCUCUUUCCACACUUUCUCUCUCCUUCUCUGCCCCGUCCGCCCACCCCCUCGCUCUUUCUCUUUCUUGACACGGUUUUAGCUCCUUUCUCUCUCUCCCCUUUCCCUUUCCUCGUUUCUCAUGGUCUCUAUUCCUCUUAUCGCUGCCCACGCCGUGUCCCUCAGCUCGCGAACGGGGGAGAGUCGCUAUUUAUAAGAUAAAACUUCCUCGCGCGCACUUGUUUCACGCCUUACAUAGAGCACCACACUCGCGAGAAAUCCGCCUCGCGACAAACCUGUCGCGACUGGUUCCGCCAGUCGAGACCCGUGAAAUAUGAUCGUUUCUGACGGAGAAUUAAGCACGUAGCUCGGGGUAAUACGAGUCAUUGCGGAACUCGCGUAAAAGCGCAGGAUUAAAAGAAUAAAGAAGAAAAAGGUGGGGAAAGGGGGAAGGGAAAAAAAGAAAGUAUCCACGCUCUAUCCGAAGAUUUAGCACUGACGGCCGAGAAAAAGCGCGGGCAAAUUUGGGGACACGAGCGCGACAGCGCAACGCACAUCUCUCACGUUGAUCUAGAUCGAUCUGCCGUGCGCGCGCGCGCGAGCCACGCGCGUUAUUACUUGUCCCGACACAUUUUACUAGACGCGCGGCUUAUCCCCCAGACGAUUUUUGCGAUACUAACAUCCACAAUAAUUCUCGAGUUUCUUCGCUCUCGCGGCCCGCCCGCAACCACCGGGAAAAAGUUGCCUUCUCUCCUUGCGAGGAAGUCAAACAAAUAAAUGUUCUGACGGGCGAACAUAAAACUCAUAAUAUAUGAGAUAAAAGAAAUACUCGUGAUCUCUCACGCGAAUCCUCACGUACCAGGCCGAUGCAUCACCCCUGACUACUACGCGCCCGCCCGAAACCCGUUUCUGGCGGGGGGAGAGAGAGAGAGAGGGACUUCUCUCACCCCUCCUCUCAUCCCCAUCUCGUAAACUCGACAACCUUCCCCGGUGCCAAUUUACAUAUGUACAUCCUUGGGGCUCCUGCGUGUGUUGCAUCCCGUAUUUGACGAGGCACCGUCGGAAUAUGCAAAUCACGUAGCCGGAUGAAUAUGCGGGGAGAAGUUUUCGUUAAAUCCACUAUAAUUGAUUCUAUUCGGCCCGCUGCCGAAAUCGCCCCGGGAAAUGAAUAGCAACGCUCCCUACCCUUCCACGUUUACCCCUCUGCCCUACCCCCGGAUAUCGGAAAAGUAUUUUACGUCGCUUUGGAGUUCCCUCCCUCUCGUGCCCCCCCGUCGCCAUCUUGAACGUACCGCGACCUCGCGAAGAUACGGCGUGCAAAUUUUCGGAAUAAUCAAAUUCGAUCGAUCUAAACGAAUAUCUAACUUCCGUUACGAAGGCCCACAGGAGUCACUUUAUUCGAUAGCAUAACUGAUUCCCUUACCCUUUGCCGUUUACAGAGGGAACCACAAGCAAUCUCUUUUUCUCUAUGCUUUCUAAAUGGCAUUGGUUAGAAAAAAAAAAGUCCCUUGCAGGAAGAGUAAAAGAGGCAGAGGAAUUGGGUGAAUAGCGAAAGGGAAUCCAAUGCCAUCGAAUAUAUACGGAACUAUAGAAAACGAUGGUCGAACCUGCUCGAAAACGAUUCCGAUAUAUCGUGGCUUUUUACAACGACGUAAAGUCACGCUAGGUUUCGCGAAAGAAACGUGAGGAAACGUCACGAUUCGGUGUAUGUGUACACUUGGCUUAUCGGCGCCGUAAACUUCCACCCGAGGUACGAUCGACGACGGGCUUAUAUCUCACACUUCGGAGAUAAUUGGGAAUCAUCCUUCCCUCAAGUUUUAUGCGGGUAUAAAUAAAACCCUAAUAAGAGAGACGCGGAGCGACGCGCGAUGGAUCGCGCCCAUGCUAACGAUGAAAGAAAGGGAUCAUUAUUAAUUUUCGUUCAGGAAAAUAACGAGAUAAGAAAAGAAUUAUUGGUCCUGAAUAUAAUAAGAAAUAAUAAUCAAAUUAUACGACGUAGAAAUAAAUCUGUCCCGGGAGAUAAAGUUACAACGUUAUCAUUAUUCGCCGCGGCGAAUAAGGGGACGUGAGAGAGAAAUCGGGGAGAGGGAAGGGGGAAAAAGAAGCAGUGACGCAAAACUUUCCCGCAGACAUUAAAAAUAAAAUUCACCGGCGAGCAUCAGGACGUAUUAAGGGUGACGAGUGCGCUGCACUUAGGAUCACGAAAGAUCGGCGAGGGCGAGGGCGCAAAGAAGAUUCGAAGGGGAGCAUGCAUAAUGGAUCGGUACUGCUGCGUGUCGAUGCGACCGCUACGUCAGUUCGCAUAAAAGUGUCGGCGGCUUUCUCGGCCGCGUCACCUUUUUUUUUUUUUCAUCUCGCGCGCCAAAAAGACGCGAGGCAGUCCGACAUCGCGGCGUUCCCGCUGAAUAACUUUGAAUCCGAUCCUCCGGGAGUAUCCUCGCGGAGGAUCCUAGGAGGAACGAUCAAACUUAAAUAUUCAGCGGCGACAACGCGUGCGCACGCGCGCCACGUUAGGAAUAUUAUUUUAUACACGUAACAUAGGGUCGGGAAUAUCUCAUUUCCAAUAUCAUUUAAUCGAUACUCCCACGUAUAAUAAAUUAAUGUGCAAUUAAUGAAUGUAAUAACGAGUGAGCGACGCGAGUCUAAUAAAUCCCCUCUGAUACGCUCGAAAAUGAUAAUGAUCCGGAUGGUAAAAUAAUAGUAAUAAUAAUAUGUCUUUCCGAAGGAGCUGUCCUAUCACACUGCGCGCAAACAUCAAAUAUGAAGGGGGAUGAACAAUGCGGCGACCUAACCAACCACCUUGAGUAACGCUUCCACGAGAGGCGAUAUCGCGUAAAUGUAGAUCUGGCUAGGCUUGAUCUAGGUUACCGCUGCUGUACAGGACACUCGGCCAGGACUCUAUUCAUGCCCGAAACCUCGUGUCACUAGUUAUGACAGCAGUUGUGUAUACGCGGAUGAAUCAGCGUGGACGUAAUCCAGCGGACCAUUGGAAAUGGCCACGCUGGCAAAUUCAAUCGGAUUCCCGGAUUCCCCCUUCUGGCAUUAGGACGUACGUCGAGGAUGCGUGAGACAAUUAUCAUUGUGAAGGAGAUUAAUCCGUUAAUGGACCCUUACAUACAUCACAUCUACGAGGCAGACAUGUCUAUAAAACAAAACAUCGGUCAGUUAAUGCUAAUUGGCGUGCUUCCUAGCGGAAUAUAAUUUGUCAUCGAUAAUUAUCAAUAGCUUGUUAAAGUAUUAUAUUAUAUUAUUUGCAUUGAAUCAUACGGCCAACUAACUAUAGUAUAAUUUAUAUUAUUCUCUUAUAUUUGUCUUAUUUAAUUUUAAAUUACUCGAAUAAAAUAGUUGACAAUUAAUUAGUGUAGAUGUCGCGUAUAAAUUAAAAAUUAAACGGAAAAACUUUUAAUGUCGCUAUUAAUCCUCAAUUAUUUUAUAUAAGCUCUAUAAAAUAAAAUGUAGAUUAUCGAGAAAAGCAAGAGGAUUCUCUUCCCUUCGAUGUUCGCAGAAACUUCUGCUUUUCUAAACGACAAGACAAAUAUUUCUUUUUUCCUAACGUGCCCGCUACUCGUAGUACCAUUUCUCGUUGACUUGGUCAAAUAGUUUUCGCUAGAAUCCCAAGGAGGAAUACGACGCAUGUGAUUCUUGCCGAAUACACACUUCUGCGACUUGCAACGCGAAUAUCUCCGAGCUCCCUGGCGUUCCGCGGAUAUUUCUCGGAUAUUCGGUCCGUUGCAAAUAAUAUCGGUACGAUAUACAAGUCGUGUAUCGAUACAAAAGAAUGACACGAGCGCAUAAUAUUUCGAGCUUCCUCGAAAGUCACGGAUUACGAGUUCUCGUAAGUCUGCAUUAUAUUCAUUGCCUACCCCUAAUUUACUAACGCUCCCGAAUACUUCGCGCGCCCUUCUUCUUACUCCAUAAAAUACGCGUAAUGUACGUAACUUCGGGUAUAAUCAGCCCUAGUUUAACGCAACUUUCGUCAACUUUCUGCAUUUUGCAGACACGCGCUUGACUGUUAAUAAAGUUACGUGCAUUUAUCGGGUACGCCUGGUACGCGUAGAACUUACGCCGUUUCAAGAAUAGAGGCACACGGACGGUUUCCACCUCGAGACUAUUCUCUGCGACCGUUAGAAGCGGUAGUAAUCGGCACGUUUCUCGAAGCUAUCGCGAUUCACAGACACUCGGCCGUGUCUGAGCAGAAUCGAGCGAGUGCUCUUUUGUAAGUUUUGGCACAAAAGUGUCUGUCGCUCCCUUCCCGUAAAUGAAAAAAAUGGAACUACCUAUAUGGCGGUUAUAUCCCGCCGUUAUUUUUCCCGGGGACCGGGGGCACAAUGUGGGCAGGCGAAAACUACGGAUUCUGCGCGUUCAGUCGACACCUCGCCCGACAAACAAUGUGUCCGCGAACGUGUGUAUUUUGUCGUCUCCCUCUCCUCCACCUCUCUCUCUCUCUCUCUCUCUCUCUCUCUCUCACACACUCGCUCUCUCACUCAGCAUACACUCGGACUCGUGGUUUCGCCUGUAGCAAUACGAAAAGGAAGCCAAGAGGUAGGUGGCCGGAUAUCCGACUUAAUGAUCCUCCUUUAUUAGAGUAAUUUAAGUAUCUAAUUAUUAUAUGGAAAUUUCCCUCGGGUUGCAAGGACCCUUGAUACAAUUUUUCUUGCACAAGUUCGGAUCUACCUCCAGGGCAAUUCGCUUUUCUCUCUCUCUCUCUCUCUCUCUCUCUUUCUUUCGCGCGCGCUCUCGCGAUCCGGUCUCUUUAUAUUGAAUGCUUUAAAAGUUCACCGGAACUUUUGUCUUCUACGUGUAAAAUUAACCUUCUUUCCGCCCGCUUGGCCCUCUUCUCCUCGCGAUCGGAGAGAGGAUCUUCCUCCUCUACCUGCUUCUAGUGGCGAACAUUAUCCCGAUUAUGUCGUCCGCUAUAUUAUCAUGAUAAGAUCGCUGACGGACAGUCGGUAUAAUGCUAUGUUUAACGAUGUCGUUAGUGCGAUGAAACCGAAAACUUUCUUUCGCCGCGUCACACCGCUCGUGUACCUAACCCUCGUGUACCGGUAUCACGAAUCUCGUGAUACCAACCAAUUCGCAAUCUGUAUUUUAACCAGCACUCUGUUCUUGUCAGAAACUUGGAUGCUCACUUCGAGGUUCAAUUAACGGAGAAGAAAAAGAACAUAUGAUAACCAUACAUAUAAUGAUCAAUUUACGAUAUACACGGAGCCCGUAUAAAGUACAAAGUUCGAAAAGUGAUCAACAAUACCAAUUUAUAACGAUGUAUUGUCUUCUAUUAUCACAAAUUUUUCUAAGUAAAACUCGCAAGUCACGAGAGGUGUCACAUGAAUUAAUAUUUAUUGUUAAUCGAUUAUCAAGAAAAAAAUAAUUGAAGAAACAUUUUGUCAGAAAAAAGCAAUAGAAUUUAAAUUUAAAAGUUUCCUAAACUUUUUCCUGAGUAUCAAUAAAAUCACAUAAAAAUCCACACUUUUCAAGAAUAAAAAAUUAAUUUCCUGAUAAUUCCAGGUUUUUUUUACUUUCCCGGGCGUAAUGUACGUAUAUAUAAUAAACGUUCAGUUAACUAAACUUAAUCAAAUUAUUGAAAUCUGGCGAUAAAUAAUAAACACAGUGCAACAAGUAACUCACUCACCGACCGAUGCGUCGCGUCGUCGUAGCCUCAUUUUUCUCUCCUUUCCUUCCUUCUGCUGUAGCAUGUGUCCUUAGUUUUUCUCGCAUUGUCACUGGCAAUCACGCGAACCAGAAAACACGCGGGGGGCGAUCACCUGUUUGAUUCGAUUAAAUCCCGAUACGCGAUUCGCGCGCAAUAUUCACUUGAUAUACAUAAAAGAAUGGAGACACGGAAACCGUGGAAUUCCGACAGAUACUUCGAUCUCACAUACCUCCGUGUUUCCGCGAUGAAACUCUGAGAUUCUUGCCGAAACUUUAAAAGUAACAGGGAAAGGAAACGACUGGUCACCUUGGUGCGCUUUUCAACAAAAAAAAAAAAAAAA
rnacentral:lncRNA from 1 species